UCCACAUUUGCUGAUUGAGGUAGCCAUAU
rnacentral:piRNA from 1 species